rnacentral:rRNA from 1 species
UACGAAGGGGGGCUAGCGUUGCUCGGAAUCACUGGGCGUAAAGGGUGCGUAGGCGGGUCUUUUAAGUCAGGGGGUGAAAUCCUGGAGCUCAACUCCAGAACUGCCUUUGAUACUGAAGAUCUUGAGUUCGGGAGAGGUGAGUGGAACUGCGAGUGUAGAGGUGAAAUUCGUAGAUAUUCGCAAGAACACCAGUGGCGAAGGCGGCUCACUGGCCCGAUACUGACGCUGAGGCACGAAAGCGUGGGGAGCAAACAGGG